CCCUUUGUGAACAUACCUAUAACUGUUGCUUCGGCGGGUAGGGUCCCCGUGACCCUCCCGGCCUCCCGCCCCCCGGGCGGGUCGGCGCCCGCCGGAGGAUAACCAAACUCUGAUUUAACGACGUUUCUUCUGAGUGGUACAAGCAAAUAAUCAAAACUUUUAACAACGGAUCUCUUGGUUCUGGCAUCGAUGAAGAACGCAGCGAAAUGCGAUAAGUAAUGUGAAUUGCAGAAUUCAGUGAAUCAUCGAAUCUUUGAACGCACAUUGCGCCCGCCAGCAUUCUGGCGGGCAUGCCUGUUCGAGCGUCAUUUCAACCCUCAAGCUCUGCUUGGUGUUGGGGCCCUACAGCUGAUGUAGGCCCUCAAAGGUAGUGGCGGACCCUCCCGGAGCCUCCUUUGCGUAGUAACUUUACGUCUCGCACUGGGAUCCGGAGGGACUCUUGCCGUAAAACCCCCAAUUUUCCAAAGGUUGACCUCGGAUCAGGUAGGAAUACCCGCUGAACUUAAGC
rnacentral:rRNA from 1 species